UGAGGAAUAUUGGUCAAUGGGCGAGAGCCUGAACCAGCCAAGUAGCGUGCAGGAUGACGGCCCUAUGGGUUGUAAACUGCUUUUAUAUGGGAAUAAAGUGAGGGACGUGUCCCUUAUUGCAUGUACCAUACGAAUAAGGACCGGCUAAUUCCGUGCCAGCAGCCGCGGUAAUACGGAAGGUCCAGGCGUUAUCCGGCGUUAUUGGGUUUAAAGGGAGCGUAGGCUGUUUGUUAAGCGUGUUGUGAAAUGUAGGAGCUCAACUUUUAGAUUGCAGCGCGAACUGGCAGACUUGAGUGCGCACAACGUAGGCGGAAUUCAUGGUGUAGCGGUGAAAUGCUUAGAUAUCAUGACGAACUCCGAUUGCGAAGGCAGCUUACGGGAGCGCAACUGACGCUAAAGCUCGAAGGUGCGGGUAUCGAACAGG
rnacentral:rRNA from 1 species